AAAGCUCUUUUGAGUGCAGCCGUUGUCAUUGGUUACAAUACAAUAUUAAGUCAGUCACACCUAGAAGCUUCAGGAUACACCACGAAAGACUGAAAUGGAAAGAUGCAGAACUUUCUAAGAAUGUGUGUGGGACCACAAGUCUUCAAAGCCUGCGAUCUGAGGUCCAAGAGCUAAAAGCAGUCGCAAACUUCAGCACCUGGGUGAAAAAUUACCGCUUAACUUGCUACCGUUUCCUCUUCAGUGGGAGAAGAGCUGGAAGAUCUAUUACCUUAAUGAUUACUUAAUGGGAGAAGACUGCUCAAGUUCUGGGACACUGUUCACAGAAUUAUCUACGAUGCUUGAAGCCUAACCCAGACUCCCAAGAAGAACUGACAUGUAUUUCCACUGAUAGUUGCCUCCUCUGAGUUUCAGCUGGAUUUGUUGCUUAAUUUCCUCUGGAGCCUUGAAAACUCCCAGCCAUAUAAUUUUCGACAGGAUCACUCUGAGGUAGAUCAUCUCUCCUCCCUACUCCAUCUCUCUAGGAAAUCUCCCCUCUACUCUUUCUAGUGACAAGUUCUGCCUGCAUACCAGGGUGCCUAAAAAAAUAAACACAACGCAGCAACUGCAGCUGUUUUACAUAGGAUGGACUGUAUCUUCCUCGCACAACCAUGCAGUGAGGUGGAGGAGGGAGGAUAUGAGGCCCUCUUCAUAGCCCAUGCUCACAGUGCGGGAGAGCCAAUUAAGGUCCCAGAGAGUGGGUAAAGAUGUGUUACUAAUCACCUUGGGCCACUAUGAGCCUAAGUCAGAAGUUAUUAUUGUAUGGUUUAAAACUAGUGCCUGAAGGUUUUAGAUCAGAACUUCAAAAAACCUGGAUGACAAGUUUUCAUCAUUUUUAUUAUUUUACAGAAAGAAGUAGGUGACCUUAUUUUGGCUCCUAAAAGUUUUCACAAGUUACAGUACAUUGUGUAAAAAAGCUUUCCCCUGUUCUGCACUGGUGACGGCAUCUGUUUGCUGAACAUGGAUCUACUUGGUGCUAGGCUGUGUUGUGGUUGAAUUGCACAGACAGUUUUAUGUCUCUGUCCUUUAAAACACAUCAUUUUUAAGAAGUAGCCCACAGUAUUUUUUUUGGCUGGAGCUUGCCAGACUGUCUUGAGAUUUUAGUCUUGCCAGAUAUUGCUAUCAUGAUCAGUGAAAUUUUUCAUUACACUUAUUCCUCUCUGUAAAUAAAGGAAGCUCAGGGCCUUCACAUUCCUAAAGACUGAAUGUUAUGCAGGAUCUGUGCUGAAAAAUCUACGCUGGAUUUAUAUGUCAUAUGGACAUUUUUAUGUUGUCCCAUAUCCACAUUUAAACCUUUGUGCUAUUUAGUGCUGUUCUGUGCCAUUCUCCAGACCACAGAUUAUAGUAUUUCCUUGAUGUUCUCCUGUCAAGAGAUACCCUCCCUGCCAAAUUUUUGCUUGCUGAUUAGACCUUUUUCCUCUAGAUCCCUGUUUCUUCCACAUGCUGGUUCUUUGAGCCAAAUUCAUCUGUAGACGAGUAAAGGAAAGGAAAAACGCUGCACAGCAGUGCUGCAACUGUUCCCCUACAAGGUCCUAAGAUGAUUAAAGCUAAUGGGAGGGCACUCUCUCUCCCUCUAUCAUUACCCCAGUGAAAGCGAAUGCUCUCAAGUUUCCCUUUUCCAUUACCAUAGCAUUUGUCAGAGGCUGAGGUUUGGCCAGGAGCUGGCAUCUCAGGUAUGGUUGAGCUCUGAGGCUUUUGAGGGAGCCAGCAAAAAAAAGUAAUGGAGCAACUAAGAAGAAGCUACUAGAGGCAUUGCUCUGAAGCAUACACUGUGAAACUCAAAGAAAUGGGGACACAAACAGGUAAACUCUGUGACCAGACUCUUAGUAAAGUUGCCAAUGGACAACUGUCCUUUAAAACCAGGCCAAGCCCCUUAUAACCCUUCAUUCAUUAUUCUUCCCAUGCUUUGUGAGUGUUCAGGUCAGCCUUACUUAUAAAAAUAAAUGAAUUCAACUGUGUCUUUGAUGCCACAUAUUCAGGAAGGACAGAAAAAGUGUCGUAAAAAUCCUCUUGCUAACUAAUAACAAAACUCAGAAUGACUGAACCUCAACAGCCAGCCCAGAUCAGGAGCUGGGGUAAGAGAUGAAUCUGACAGAAAGCUGCAAAUAAGCUACUGGAACUGCCUUCAGUGGGAGUUUGGCCCAAGGAAGAGCUUCUGGAUUCGGUCCGAGCAAUUUAAAUAAUACAAGGCAGCUAAGUCAGUUUCUCAACUUUUAGCUAGACAAUCUCUUCACAUUUAACCCAACUUCACCAAAGAGACUUUCUCAGGCUAUUGAAAGGCCUGGUAUUGUGAAAUGGGACAUCAAAACAACACUUUGGGGAUGUACUCUCAUCAAAAUGAUCAGCGAUCGUGAUUCUAAUUAGGAAAUCUCAAACAGACACUAGAAGUGUCCACCCUUGUUUAUACAAGACCUUGAGCCGCCUGCCUGUGUAGUUGGUACGGCUUUGAACAGGUUAAACUGAGCAGUAUCAAAGUAUCUUCAAUUUUUCUGUGAUUUCAUGAAUCUGGUGUUACAAGAAGGCUCUAGGACAAUACUAAUCAUCCUUUAAAUGUUGUUCAUGAAUUUUAAGUGAUGACUACACCAUUUCAGAGCCUGUUUCAGUAUUCAGUACUUCUGUGACUUCAGGAAUUUCUGGAGAAUCACAGUAUGAUGAUGCAGGGUACAUGAUGUACCAGCUCAAACUUCAGUGGGAUGAAAGAAUAGGCCAAGUGUGUAAGAUACUAAAUACUAGUUUCACAUAAGUAUUUUUGGUUUAACUAACACGGCCACAUAUAAAGCAUGUGAUUUAAAGAAUGUGGUCAAAUUUAAAUAGGCCUUUCUGAGGCUUGCCUCAGAAAGAGAGGACAUUGUAUCUUCUCAUAUAUUUUCUCACCCUAAGACACCCCUGAGCAAGUGCCCUGAGCUUAUAAAUAUCCCUCAAUAUUUUUGCAUGUGUGAUUGCCUAAUUUCAGUUGCAGUGACAAUGUGCUGCAUGUUCAGUCUGCAGGAUCAAAGGCUGGACAAUCAUGAGUUAUGUGACAAAUGAGAAAGUGUCAAAACUGUUUACACGACUUCAGGCUGAACUUGAUAAGUUAUUUAGAUAUGUAAACAUGCAGAGGAGGCCAAAGAUAAUUUUGAAAGCCCCUCUAUUGGUUGGGAAUGAGAACACAAGUUUUUAAAGGUCCAAGUCCGCAAAAGAAUGUUGACAUGUAAAGUGAAAUUUAGGCACCUAAGUUCAAAACUUACAGUCUCAUCAUCUGCUACCUGUUUGAAGAAGCUCCAAGAGAAUUUUGUUAAAGGGGACAAAGUGAAUCAGCUCAGGAAAAAAACAUAUUUCCUUCCGAAAAGAGUGAAUGCUGAAUUCUUUUGGUUACUUCAUAAAGGAAGAACUAUGUCAUCAAAUUUGCCUUAGGACCAGUAUGAAAGUAUAAGCAGUCAGCUAGAAGAGACGAGGCUUCAGUUCCUAACUCCAGGAUUAUUUCUGUUUCUUUUAACAGAUUAAAAUCAUAAUGCCCACCCCUUGGCUUUUGGCUGUGUGAGCCAAGGGGAGGCUCUUCUGCCUGUGUGAUGAGCAGGACACAUGCUGUCAAUUUUCCUAUAUCACUGUACUGCUGUUGUGCCUGGGGCAUGAUGGGGCUUUGCAUCCAAGCCCUAAAUCAGAGUCCAGCUCAUAUGCAAUAGACCUGUCUCUUCCCAGAAGUAUUGCUCUUUGACAUGCAUGCAAUAAAUCAGCAGUCAGCUUUCAGGGUUCAUUUAUGAGAAUGUUGACAAGCAGAAUUUUAUUGGGUUUACAGUAAAUUAUUUAUUGGUUUUCUGUUUCGUUCAC